rnacentral:rRNA from 1 species
UCGAAUUCAACCUGGUUGAUCCUGCCAGUAGUCAUAUGCUUGUCUCAAAGAUUAAGCCAUGCAAGUCUAAGUAUAAGUUACUAUGUAACGAAACUGCGAACGGCUCAUUAGAACAGUAAUAAUUUGUGUGAGGAUGACUACUACACGGAUAUCUGUGGUAAUUCUGGAGCUAAGACGUGCACUGAGGCUUCUCUUUGAGAAGUCAGCACCUAUUAGCUACUGCCUCAACCUAAGCAAUUAGGUAAGAGUGAUCUAUAAUAGUGUUGCUUAUCAUAGAGUUUACUCUAUGGAACCUCACUUAAGUUUCUGACCUAUCAGCUGUCGACGGUAGGGUAUUGGCCUACCGUGGCUAUGACGGGUAACGGGGAAUUAGGGUUUGAUUCCGGAGAGGGAGCCUGAGAGACGGCUACCACAUCUAAGGAAGGCAGCAGGCGCGCAAAUUACCCAAUCGAGACACUCGGAGGUAGUGACAAGAAAUAUCAAUGCAAUGCUAUAUGUUUUGCAAUUGGAAUGAGUUGAGGGUACAACACUCUACAAGUAUCAAUUGGAGGGCAAGUCUGGUGCCAGCAGCCGCGGUAAUUCCAGCUCCAAUAGCGUAUAUUAAAGUUGUUGCAGUUGAAAAGCUCGUAGUUGAUAAUAAAUAAGAUAUGGGCUCUCUCACACCGAGAUGAAUUCCAUUUUCUUAUCUUCGUUUGUAUUAUGGGGCUCGUCUUCACAAUAUGAACAUGUUACUUUGAAUAAUUUUGAGUGUUUAAAGCAGGCUUUUCGCCUUGUAAACCACAGCAUGGAAUAACAAUGUAGGGCUAAUACUCGACUUUGAGGUUAAAGAGAAUUGGUCAAGAUUAAGAGGAACAGUUGGGGGCAUUCGUACUUGGUAGUCAGAGGUGAAAUUCUUAGAUUUACCAAAGACGAACUACUGCGAAAGCAUCUGCCAAGGAUGUUUUCAUUAAUCAAGAACGAAAGUUAGGGGAUCGAAGACGAUCAGAUACCGUCGUAGUCUUAACUGUAAACUAUGCCGACUAGAGAUCGGAAGUUGUCAAUCAAAAGACUCUUUCAGUACCUUAUGAGAAAUCAAAGUCUUUGGGUUCUGGGGGGAGUAUAGUCGCAAGGCUGAAACUUAAAGGAAUUGACGGAAGGGCACCACCAGGAGUGGAGCCUGCGGCUUAAUUUGACUCAACACGGGAAAUCUUACCAGGUCCAGACAUAGGAAGGAUUGACAGAUUGAGAGCUCUUUCUUGAUUCUAUGGGUGGUGGUGCAUGGCCGUUCUUAGUUGGUGGAGUGAUUUGUCUGGUUAAUUCCGAUAACGAACGAGACUUUGACCUGCUAAUUAGACUUUGUAGGGAAACCUAUUGAAUGUGCUUCUUAGAGGGACUUUGUGUGUUUAACACAAGGAAGUUCAAGGCAAUAACAGGUCUGUGAUGCCCUUAGAUGUUCUGGGCCGCACGCGCGCUACAAUGGUGUGCUCAUUAAGUGUUCCCUUACCUGAAAAGGUUGGGUAAUCUUUUGAAAGUGCACCGUGAAUGGGAUUGACAAUUGUAAUUAUUUGUCAUGAACGAGGAAUUCCUAGUAAGCAUAAGUCAUUAACUUGUGCUGAUUACGUCCCUGCCCUUUGUACACACCGCCCGUCGCCUCAAUCGACUGGAUGAUUCGGUGAACUAUUCGGAGUAUCAUCUUUUUAGCAAUAAAAAGACGAUGCGAAGUCUCGUAAACCACAUCAUCUGGAGAAUGAGAAAGUCGUAACACGGUAUUCGUAGGUGAACCUGCAGA